UUUAACUGAGCGUUCAGUUACUUGACGUAGACCCGAAACCGGGCGACCUACCCAUGAGCAGGAUGAAGCGAAAGUAAAAUUUCGUGGAGGUCCGAACCCACGAGCGUUGAAAAGCUCGGGGAUGACUUGUGGGUAGCGGUGAAAUUCCAAUCGAGCCCGGAGAUAGCUGGUUCUCCCCGAAAUAGCUUUAGGGCUAGCCUCAAGGUGAGAGAUACGGAGGUAGAGCACUGAAUGUCCUAGGGGGUAUUGCACCUACCGAAGACUAUCAAACUCCGAAUGCCGUCAUCUUAUACUUGGGAGUCAGACUGUGGGUGAUAAGAUUCAUAGUCGAAAGGGCAACAGCCCAGAUCGUCAGCUAAGGUCCCUAAAUGUAAGUUAAGUGGUAAAGGAUGUGGGAUUGCACAGACAACCAGGAUGUUGGCUUAGAAGCAGCCACUCAUUCAAAGAGUGCGUAAUAGCUCACUGGUCGAGUGAUCCUGCGCCGAAGAUUUCCGGGGCUAAAACUUACUACCGAAGCUACGGCAUCAGUAAUGAUGGGUAGGGGAGCUUCCCAUACGGGUUGAAGCAUGACCGUAAGGACAUGUGGACAGUAUGGGAGUGAGAAUGUUGGCAUGAGUAGCGAGAUGUGGGUGAGAAUCCCACAGGCCGUAAACCCAAGGUUUCCAGGGGAAGGUUCGUCCGCCCUGGGUUAGUCGGGACCUAAGCUGAGGCCGAAAGGCGUAGGUGAUGGACAACAGGUUGAUAUUCCUGUACUACCGAUAACCGUUUGAGAGAAGGGAUGACACAGUAGGAUAAGCUAAGCACACUGUUGGUUAUGUGUGCCCAAGCAUUGAGGCAGUCAAAGUAGGCAAAUCCGCUUUGAUAAUGCUGGGAUGUGAUGGGGAGCGAAAUUUAGUAGCGAAGUAGCUGAUUUCACACUGUCAAGAAAAGUCUCUAUCGAGGUUAAAGGUACCCGUACCGCAAACCGACACAGGUGGGUGAGGAGAGUAUCCUAAGGCCAGCGAGAGAACUGUUGUUAAGGAACUCGGCAAAAUGACCCCGUAACUUAGGGAUAAGGGGUGCCACCAUCAGGUGGCCGCAGAGAAUAGGCCCAAGCGACUGUUUACCAAAAACAUAGGUUUCUGCUAAGUCGCAAGACGAUGUAUAGGAGCUGACGCCUGCCCGGUGCUGGAAGGUUAAGGGGAUCUGUUAGAGCAAUCGAAGCAGUGAACUUAAGCCCCAGUAAACGGCGGCCGUAACUAUAACGGUCCUAAGGUAGCGAAAUUCCUUGUCGGGUAAGUUCCGACCCGCACGAAAGGCGUAACGAUUUGGGCACUGUCUCAACAACAGACUCGGUGAAAUUGUAAUUCCGGUGAAGAUGCCGGAUACCUGCGACAGGACGGAAAGACCCCAUGGAGCUUUACUGUAGCUUGACAUUGGGUCUUGGUACUACAUGUACAGGAUAGGUGGGAGGCUUUGAAACCAGGACGCCAGUUUUGGCGGAGCCAUCCUUGGGAUACCACCCUUGUAGUACUGGGACUCUAACCAUAGGCCAUGAAUCUGGUCUUGGGACACUGUCAGGUGGGCAGUUUGACUGGGGCGGUCGCCUCCCAAAAGGUAACGGAGGCGCUCAAAGGUUCUCUCAGUACGGUCGGAAAUCGUACGUAGAGUGUAAAGGCAAAAGAGAGCUUGAUUGCAAGACAUACAGGUCGAGCAAGGAUGAAAAUCGGACUUAGUGAUCCGGUGGUUCUGCGUGGAAGGGCCAUCGCUCAACGGAUAAAAGCUACCCUGGGGAUAACAGGCUUAUCUCCCCCAAGAGUCCACAUCGACGGGGAGGUUUGGCACCUCGAUGUCGGCUCAUCACAUCCUGGGGCUGUAGUAGGUCCCAAGGGUUGGGCUGUUCGCCCAUUAAAGUGGUACGCGAGCUGGGUUCAGAACGUCGUGAGACAGUUCGGUCCCUAUCCGUCGCAGGCGUAGGAAAUUUGAGAAGACCUGUCCUUAGUACGAGAGGACCGGGA
rnacentral:rRNA from 1 species